UACGAAGGGGGGCUAGCGUUGCUCGGAAUUACUGGGCGUAAAGGGCGCGUAGGCGGAUGUUUAAGUUGGGGGUGAAAGCCCGGGGCUCAACCUCGGAAUUGCCUUCAAUACUGGACAUCUUGAAUACGGGAGAGGUGAGUGGAACUCCGAGUGUAGAGGUGAAAUUCGUAGAUAUUCGGAAGAACACCAGUGGCGAAGGCGACUCACUGGCCCGUUACUGACGCUGAGGCGCGAAAGCGUGGGGAGCAAACAGG
rnacentral:rRNA from 1 species